AAUGAACGCUGGCGGCGUGCUUAACACAUGCAAGUCGUGCGCGAAGGUGGCUUCGGCCACCGGAGAGCGGCGAACGGGUGAGUAACACGUGGGUAAUCUGCCUUGGAGUGGGGGAUAACCUGGGGAAACUCGGGCUAAUACCGCAUACGUCGACGGGGUUGCGGCCUCGUCAAGAAAGCUGGCCUCUGCUUGCAAGCUAGCGCUCCUGGAGGAGCCCGCGGCUGAUUAGCUAGUUGGUAGGGUAAUGGCCUACCAAGGCGACGAUCAGUA
rnacentral:rRNA from 1 species